rnacentral:rRNA from 1 species
UUACCGAGUUUACAACUCCCAAACCCCUGUGAACAUACCUUAAUGUUGCCUCGGCGGAUCAGCCCGCGCCCCGUAAAACGGGACGGCCCGCCAGAGGACCCAAACUCUAAUGUUUCUUAUUGUAACUUCUGAGUAAAACAAACAAAUAAAUCAAAACUUUCAACAACGGAUCUCUUGGUUCUGGCAUCGAUGAAGAACGCAGCAAAAUGCGAUAAGUAAUGUGAAUUGCAGAAUUCAGUGAAUCAUCGAAUCUUUGAACGCACAUUGCGCCCGCUGGUAUUCCGGCGGGCAUGCCUGUUCGAGCGUCAUUUCAACCCUCAAGCCCCCGGGUUUGGUGUUGGGGAUCGGCUCUGCCCUUCUGGGCGGUGCCGCCCCCGAAAUACAUUGGCGGUCUCGCUGCAGCCUCCAUUGCGUAGUAGCUAACACCUCGCAACUGGAACGCGGCGCGGCCAUGCCGUAAAACCCCAACUUCUGAAUGUUGACCUCGGAUCAGGUAGGAAUACCCGCUGAACUUAAGCAUAUC